GAUGAACGCUAGCUACAGGCUUAACACAUGCAAGUCGAGGGGUAGCAUGGUCUUAGCUUGCUAAGGCCGUUGGCGACCGGCGCACGGGUGAGUAACACGUAUCCAACCUGCCGUCUACUCUUGGACAGCCUUCUGAAAGGAAGAUUAAUACAAGAUGGCAUCAUGAGUCCGCAUGUUCACAUGAUUAAAGGUAUUCCGGUAGACGAUGGGGAUGCGUUCCAUUAGAUAGUAGGCGGGGUAACGGCCCACCUAGUCUUCGAUGGAUAGGGGUUCUGAGAGGAAGGUCCCCCACAUUGGAACUGAGACACGGUCCAAACUCCUACGGGAGGCAGCAGUGAGGAAUAUUGGUCAAUGGGCGAGAGCCUGAACCAGCCAAGUAGCGUGAAGGACGACUGCCCUAUGGGUUGUAAUCUUCUUUUAUAAAGGAAUAAAGUCGGGUAUGGAUACCCGUUUGCAUGUACUUUAUGAAUAAGGAUCGGCUAACUCCGUG
rnacentral:rRNA from 1 species